rnacentral:rRNA from 1 species
GUGUCAGCAGCCGCGGUAACACGUAGGGGGCGAGCGUUGUCCGGAUUCAUUGGGCGUAAAGGGCGCGCAGGCGGCCCGGAAAGUCGGAUGUGAAAACUCGGGGCUCAACCCCGAGCGUGCACCCGAUACUGCCGGGCUUGAGGCAGGUAGGGGAGAUCGGAAUUCCUGGUGUAGCGGUGAAAUGCGCAGAUAUCAGGAGGAACACCGGUGGCGAAGGCGGAUCUCUGGGCCUGUCCUGACGCUGAGGCGCGAAAGCUAGGGGAGCGAACAGGAUUAGAAACCCGUGUAGUCC